rnacentral:rRNA from 1 species
AGAGUUUGAUCAUGGCUCAGGACGAACGCUGGCGGCGCACCUCAUGCAUGCAAGUCGAACGAUAACUAGCUCAUUCGUAAGAAUGAGUUAGGGACAGUGGCGAACGGGUGCGUAACACGUGAGAAACCUGCCCUGGAGACCGGGAUAGCCCGAGGAAACUCGGAUUAAUACCGGAUACCCUCUCGAGACCACAUGGUCUGGUGAGGAAAUGGUCCGCCGCUCCAGGAUGGUCUCGCGGCCUAUCAGCUUGUUGGUGAGGUAAUGGCUCACCAAGGCUCCGACGGGUAGCUGGUCUGAGAGGACGAUCAGCCACACUGGGACUGAGACACGGCCCAGACUCCUACGGGAGGCAGCAGCAGGGAAUAUUGCACAAUGGGCGAAAGCCUGAUGCAGCGACGCCGCGUGCGGGAUGAAGGCCUUCGGGUUGUAAACCGCUUUCAGGAGGGACGAAAAUGACGGUACCUCCAGAAGAAGGCCCGGCCAACUACGUGCCAGCAGCCGCGGUAAUACGUAGGGGCCAAGCGUUGUCCGGAUUUAUUGGGCGUAAAGGGCUCGUAGGCGGUUUGACAAGUCGGACGUGAAAACCCGGGGCUCAACCCCGGGACGCCGUUCGAAACUGUCAUGACUAGGGUCCGGUAGAGGUGAGUGGAAUUCUCGGUGUAGCGGUGGAAUGCGCAGAUAUCGAGAGGAACACCAGUAG